AAUGGGGGAAACCCUGACGCAGCAACGCCGCGUGAGUGAUGAAGGCCUUCGGGUCGUAAAGCUCUGUCAAGUGGGAAGAAUCUGUCCGGUGAUAAUACCGCUGGGCAAUGACGGUACCGCUGAAGGAAGCACCGGCUAACUCCGUGCCAGCAGCCGCGGUAAUACGGGGGGUGCUAGCGUUAUUCGGAAUCAUUGGGCGUAAAGGGCGCGUAGGCGGUCUUUUAAGUCAGAUGUGAAAGCCCUCGGCUUAACUGAGGAAGUGCAUUUGAUACUAAAAGACUUGAGUAUGGGAGAGGGAAGCGGAAUUCCUGGUGUAGCGGUGAAAUGCGUAGAUAUCAGGAGGAACACCGGUGGCGAAGGCGGCUUCCUGGACCAAUACUGACGCUGAGGCGCGAAGGCGUGGGGAGCAAA
rnacentral:rRNA from 1 species